CAUACUCCAAGUCCAGUUUACCUGGUGCCAAUAGAGCAGCAAACUGGAAUUCUUUACUCCCAAUGCCUGUUGUGGCUUCCUUUCUUCAGCAGCCAUACAGCUAACAUGAAGUGUUAAGGUUAUCGUAGCAGAAUUUGCCAGUUUUGGGGAGAACAAGGGAAAGAAAUCCACGUCAAAUCUAAAUAGGGAACAGGAACAGGGAACCAGGGAGGAGGGUGUUCAGGGGGUUCCUAAGCUGCCUCUAUUUCUACCCUGUUGCAGCAAUGAGAGCAGAAUCAGCAGCACCCACUUCUUUGUUAUUCAGGGCAGCAUGUGCUAUGUGCAGCUUUGAAUGCUCCUAACCAAACAUAGAGGGUGAUACCCUACCCUUCCUCACCUCCCCUGCUGUAACUGCUUUCUGAGCUGAGGUUUGAGUGAAGCACCAGUGGGCUCACCAAAUCUAAUUGUAUCUUCCUUUUCUCUCCCUUCCCAUGUGCAUUGAUUGAAGCUUCCUGAAGUGCAUGGACAGGAAAGCAGAAAUGUUACACUGAACAGCCAGGAGCAGGUGGAUGGCUCUGGCAAUGGAACAGGAGCUCAUGAUGCACCUGUGGCUGACUCAGCCCCUGAAGAACAGGGAGCAGCAGAGGAGGACACUGCACAUUCAAAUUCUGUUUCCUCCAGUGCACAGCAAGGAGUUGUCAUCCGGUGUCCAAUUUGCAUGGAAUUUUACUCAGAGAUUCUACAACAUGGAGAACAGCUUGUGGUAACCCUGUGUGGCCAUGUAUUCUGCAGUAGAUGCCUCCCUAUUGCCCUGGAGACUGCUCACAUGUGCCCAACCUGCAGGGUAGAACAAUAUCCAGAAGAAUAUAUUAACAUUUUUUUAUGAGUGCUUCUCAGGACACACUCAGAUGGAUCUAGGACAAUAGGCAGUGGAGAGACUUGUUUCUUUAUCUAUAUAGUUCUUCCUGUACAUAGUUUCAUUUUUGAUUAAUUCAAUUUAAAUAAAGUUUUGAGUAG